rnacentral:rRNA from 1 species
CGGUGUUUAACUGGCGUGAUGUGGGACGUCCUACCGGUGGGCUUAGCCUCGCGAGGGGCGGCCCAACUAAUAUCCCGUCGCGGUGCUCUUUACUGAGUGUCGAGUCGGGCCGGUACGUUUACUUUGAACAAAUUAGAGUGCUUAAAGCAGGCUAUCCUCGCCUGAAUACUGCGUGCAUGGAAUAAUGGAAUAGGACCUCGGUUCUAUUUUGUUGGUUUUCGGAACCCCGAGGUAAUGAUUAAUAGGGACAGAUGGGGGCAUUCGUAUUGCGACGUUAGAGGUGAAAUUCUUGGAUCGUCGCAAGACGGACAGAAGCGAAAGCAUUUGCCAAAAAUGUUUUCAUUAAUCAAGAACGAAAGUUAGAGGUUCGAAGGCGAUCAGAUACCGCCCUAGUUCUAACCAUAAACGAUGCCAGCUAGCGAUCCGCCGAAGUUCCUCCGAUGACUCGGCGGGCAGCUUCCGGGAAACCAAAGCUUUUGGGUUCCGGGGGAAGUAUGGUUGCAAAGCUGAAACUUAAAGGAAUUGACGGAAGGGCACCACCAGGAGUGGAGCCUGCGGCUUAAUUUGACUCAACACGGGAAACCUCACCAGGCCCAGACACCGGAAGGAUUGACAGAUUGAUAGCUCUUUCUUGAUUCGGUGGGUGGUGGUGCAUGGCCGUUCUUAGUUGGUGGAGCGAUUUGUCUGGUUAAUUCCGAUAACGAACGAGACUCUAGCCUGCUAAAUAGGCGUACCUUAUGGUAUCGCGAAGGCCCCCGGCUUCGGCCGGUGGGUUCUUACUACCAACGUACAAACAAAUCUUCUUAGAGGGACAGGCGG